AGUCGAACGCGCAGCAUUCUGUAGCAAUACAGGGUGUGGGCGCGUGGCGAACGGGUGCGUAACACGUGGAUAACCUUCCUUCAGGUGGGGAAUAACCCCGCGAAAGCGGGGCUAAUACCGCAUAACAUGACGAUGCCACAUGGUGUUGUCUUCAAAGCCGCAAGGCGCCAGAAGAGGGAUCCGCGGCCGAUUAGCUUGUUGGCGAGGUAAUGGCUCACCAAGGCAUUGAUCGGUAGCCGGACUGAGAGGUUGGCCGGCCACACUGGAACUGAGACACGGUCCAGACUCCUACGGGAGGCAGCAGUGGGGAAUCUUGCACAAUGGACGAAAGUCUGAUGCAGCAACGCCGCGUGGGGGAUGAAGCUUUUCGGAGUGUAAACCCCUUUCGACCCGGAAGAAUGCCCGCAAGGGCUUGACGGUACGGGUAUAAGAAGCCCCGGCUAACUACGUGCCAGCAGCCGCGGUAAUACGUAGGGGGCCAGCGUUGCUCGGAAUUACUGGGCGUAAAGGGUCCGUAGGCGGUGUGGCAAGUCGGGAGUGAAAUCUCUGGGCUUAACCCAGAGGCUGCUUCCGAAACUGCCAUGCUAGAGUGUGAGAGAGGCGAGUGGAAUUACGGGUGUAGCGGUGAAAUGCGUAGAUAUCCGUAGGAACAUCCGAGGCGAAGGCGGCUCGCUGGAUCACAACUGACGCUGAGGGACGAAAGCUAGGGGAGCAAACAGGAUUAGAUACCCUG
rnacentral:rRNA from 1 species